CUCGAAUUUCGCAAAUUUCCGAUGAGUAGGUCAUUGGUCACCAAAACAGAAAAUCUCGCUUGUUGUCCAAAGAUAAAUGGAUAAAUAAAUAUUCAAUGAAACUGAGCUGAGUUGGAUGCUGAUGCCCAUCGUGUCAUCCGGGAGCUGCGAUAGCGGCACUUGAAUACUUGGAAAAAUGCAUAUUUACAAACAUGUCACAUAUUAAAACCGCACGAGCUGAAAGAGUUUAUUGUAAUCUAAACAGUACCUACAUAGAAUUGUGUGCGUCAAGCUAGCGGCCUCAAAAAAAAAAUGGGCACGAAAAAAUAAUUUGACCAUACCAAAAAAUAGUACUCUUAUUGAAAAAAAUAGUACCUGUUGUAAAAAAAUUAGUACCAUCACGGUUCUGGAUUUAUAGCCAUGUUUUAUUGCACUUGCUAGCUUGACGGUGAGCGAAAUUUGGCGAGAGUUAACGACAAGGUCUUUCGCUUUGAUUUAAACGCCAAAAAAUAGUAUCGAAAUAGUACUCACCCCCUGCAAAAUACCGAAAGUAGUACUUCAACGGUUCCAAAGUUAUAAAGGUAGUUCUUUGAUCCCGCUAGCUUGACGUUUUGAAAAUACCUAUUAUCUGGGGAAUGCUUGCAUACUUCAGUUUGUAACUAAUGUCAAUAAACUCGUAUGAAAUAGUACUCCCUACCAUCAUAAUUUGGACCUGAUUCUCUUUGUAGAAAUAUGUCAAAAAGUCAUUAUAACCUAUGUCAUACAUUUAUCAAGACGAGUACAGUCGCGAACAAAAUUAUUACACAUGGUCAAGAAUGUUGUCAGAUUUCAGUAUUUUUCCCCAU